UUGGCUUUUCUUUGGCUUGCUCUUGAAUUAUUUCCUGCGCAGAGUGAAGGCCGUUCACUUUGGGGUCCCAGGACGAGACAUUUGCUCUCCAGCAACAGUUUAAUGGACGGGAAAGCUUACAUAUCUAAAGCAAAACCCUGGAGCAACAUCUCGCCAGCAGGUCAUGGAGGCAGUCUUCAGUCUGGGGAUGGGAGGAGGUUGCCAAUUAUAGGGGAAAUUGACGUCAGAUGGACUGGUCAGUGGUUAACAAGGAAACCAGCAGAGGGGCACACCGCUCACCACCCCUCUGAUAAGCUCUAUGGUGAUGUUCUGAUCUAAAGGUUAGAACAAGCCACUGACUGGAGCCUGGGGCAAGUAUGUAGGAAGGUCAGUCGUGUGAGUAGGUGUAGGUGAAGCAGGCGCUGGUCCGGCUGGGGAUGUACAGCCACUCAAGAUGGCAACCAUUAUGAAUGGCCUGACCUACAAGAGUUUACAAAAUUGGGAAGUCGGCUGAGACCCAUUGAGCUGAUGACCGCUAACGGUCAUAAUCCAUCGGAACACUCCUGCCCUCAGUGGUGCUUUCUGCAACAUUUCUAAUACCUAGUGUUACCUGGAGACACAGAAGAAGCACUAUGCCCUUGAAGAACACAGCUCUGUGCACCCUGAAUCCAUGUGGGCUUUGAAAACCCAGCCCUUCAAAUACAGAGAGAGGACAUUAAGAUUAGAGACUGCCAGAGU